rnacentral:rRNA from 1 species
CAGUCGCCGCGGUAAUACAGAGGGUGCGAGCGUUAAUCGGAUUUACUGGGCGUAAAGCGUGCGUAGGCGGCUUCUUAAGUCGGAUGUGAAAUCCCUGAGCUUAACUUAGGAAUUGCAUUCGAUACUGGGAAGCUAGAGUAUGGGAGAGGAUGGUAGAAUUCCAGGUGUAGCGGUGAAAUGCGUAGAGAUCUGGAGGAAUACCGAUGGCGAAGGCAGCCAUCUGGCCUAAUACUGACGCUGAGGUUCGAAAGCAUGGGGAGCAAACAGGAUUAGAUACCCCUGUAGUCCCUGUCUCUUAUAC